ACUCCUACGGGAGGCAGCAGUGGGGAAUAUUGCACAAUGGGCGCAAGCCUGAUGCAGCCAUGCCGCGUGUAUGAAGAAGGCCUUCGGGUUGUAAAGUACUUUCAGCAGUGAGGAAGGCGGAGUCGUUAAUAGCGGCCUCGUUUGACGUUAGCUGCAGAAGAAGCACCGGCUAACUCCGUGCCAGCAGCCGCGGUAAUACGGAGGGUGCGAGCGUUAAUCGGAAUUACUGGGCGUAAAGGGUGCGUAGGCGGCUUAGCAAGCCAGGGGUGAAAGGCAUUGGCUCAACCAAUGUAAGCCUUUGGAACUGUUAAGCUUGAGUGCAGGAGAGGUAAGUGGGAAUUCCUAGUGUAGAGGUGAAAUUCGUAGAUAUUAGGAGGAACACCAGUGGCGAAGGCGACUUACUGGACUGUAACUGACGCUGAUGCACGAAAGCUGGGGUAGCGAACAGGAUUAGAUACCCUGGUAGCACA
rnacentral:rRNA from 1 species